UCUGGCAAUAGUAUAUCCUGGUUCAACUAGCGAAGGUGCAACUAAAAAGUAGUUCAGUUACCAAAUUUCCAUCCAGCGAAUUACGACUAGCAAAACAUAGAUCUGGACAACGGAACAUAGAUCUGGACAACGGAACGGAAGUGCUGGCCGAACAGCAACUGGCCCGUGUUGUCACCGACGAAAGUAACAACACCACGAUUAUUUUUGAGCAGGAUUCUGAAGUACCGGAGGCCGUAGCGGUUGAUAGCCCACCAUCGUCCGAUACGAUUUAACCCGCUGCAGUUGACGCUCCAUUGUCUGUUGAGCUCACAGACACCUCUGGCGUAAUCUUACCACGUUCCACGGAUGAAACGGAAGCUGUACCGAGUACAUCGGGAUUAUCGAUUCCUUUUUUGUAGGAUCAAUUCAAUCGCAUAUUUGACCCACUAAAAAUAUUUUUUAGUUACAUGCUGUUUUAAUUGUAGACGAGAAUGUAUUGAAGCAAAUAAAUCGUCACAACAUUUAAAAAUAUGUUUAAACAUUCUUCCCUAUUAUCCGAAUA